rnacentral:rRNA from 1 species
GAUGAACGCUGGCGGCGUGCCUAAUACAUGCAAGUCGAGCGAACAGACGCGGCGCUUGCUCCUCUGACGUUAGCGGCGGACGGGUGAGUAACACGUGGAUAACCUACCUAUCAGACUGGGAUAACUUCGGGAAACCGGAGCUAAUACCGGAUAAUAUCUUGAACCGCAUGGUUCAAUAGUGAAAGACGGUUUUGCUGUCACUUAUAGCUGGAUCCGCGCUGCAUUAGCUAGUUGGUAAGGUAACGGCUUACGAAGGCAACGAUGCGUAGCCGACCUGAGAGGGUGAUCGGCCACACUGGAACUGAGACACGGUCCAGACUCCUACGGGAGGCAGCAGUAGGGAAUCUUCCGCAAUGGGCGAGAGCCUGACGGAGCAACGCCGCGUGAGUGAUGAAGGUCUUCGGAUCGUAAAACUCUGCUAUUAGGGAAGAACAAAUGUGUAAGUAACUGUGCACGGCUUGACGGUACCUAAUCAGAAAGCCACGGCUAACUACGUG